rnacentral:rRNA from 1 species
GAUGAACGCUGGCGGCGUGCUUAACACAUGCAAGUCGAACGGAAAGGCCCAAGCUUGCUUGGGUACUCGAGUGGCGAACGGGUGAGUAACACGUGGGUGAUCUGCCCUGCACUUCGGGAUAAGCCUGGGAAACUGGGUCUAAUACCGGAUAGGUCCUCAUGUUGGAUGGUGUGGUGGAAAGUUUUUCGGUUUGGGAUGAUCUCGCGGGCUAUCAGCUUGUUGGUGGGGUAAUGGCCUACCAAGGCGUCGACGGGUAGCCGGCCUGAGAGGGUGUACGGCCACAUUGGGACUCUGAUACGGUCCCGACGCCUACGGGAGGCAGCAGUGGGGCAUAUUGAACAAUGGGGGCGAGCCUGAUGCAGCGAGGCCGCGUGGGGGAUGACGGCAUUCGGGUUGUAAACUCCUGUCGCUAGGGACGAAGCGUUUUUGUGACGGUACCUGGAGAAGAAGCACCGGCUAACUACGUG